GACAGAGGAUGCAAGCGUUAUCCGGAAUGAUUGGGCGUAAAGCGUCUGUAGGUGGCUUUCAAGUCCGCCGUCAAAUCCCAGGGCUCAACCCUGGACAGGCGGUGGAAACUACCAAGCUGGAGUACGGUAGGGGCAGAGGGAAUUUCCGGUGGAGCGGUGAAAUGCAUUGAGAUCGGAAAGAACACCAACGGCGAAAGCAGCUACUGCUGGGACCCGACACUGACACUGAGAGACGAAAGCUAGGGGAGCAAAUGGG
rnacentral:rRNA from 1 species